UAUUGAUCUUCCGACAAGAUGGCAUAUUCCUCCUCUCAAAAAACCUACAAAACUUACUCUAAAAACAAACCUUGUAAAUAGGGAAACUCUAAUGAACAUCAUAAAGAAAGGGAUCGAUUUACCCGUCUCUCCCUUGAUUGAGAAAUUCCUUUAUGUGCUCGACACUACUAAACAAGGAACCAAGCUAGGUGUCAGCUAUUUAGGUAUACCUACUCGGUACUUCUUGUUCAAUGUUUUUUCUUUUAUUUUUAUAUACGUUUUUAUGAAUUUGGCCUCAGCUUUUCUAUUGUGCUUUUUAUAAUAAUUUAUCUGAAGCAACUAAAGAAGAUUAAGCUUAACAAGGGCAAAAGAUCUGCUAGCUCUUCUUCAGCUCCUCUUGUUCUUCCCUUAAGUCAUGGGCAACGUGAAAUGGCUGAGGACAACACUACCAUCUUUGACCUGAGUUUGGGAGCUUCUGCUUAAGUUGCUGGGCUAUCUUUAGUGCUGCGCUCUUCUUCUUUUACUAUGAGCUUCGAGAAAUAUUCUCAAUUGAUAGACGAGGACGAUUGUGUUGAGGUGGACACUCCUACCUUAGGUCGAUGCCCUGUUCCUUGGCCUUACUUGGAGAAAAAAUACAAAAUUGGGUCGACCGUCUAGACACCUCCAUUGGUCGAGGAGCUUGGGAACUUGAUAAAUUGUUGGGCCAACUUGAAGGAGCUCGAGAACGUCCAUCCUUUCGAGCUUAUGCUUAGAAAAUGUCUCUCCUCUUACAGGUUGUGACCUUGGUAAUGCUCGAAAGCAUUACAAGAGGCAACUGAGCGAGCUAGUCUCUUAUGAUCGGAUAAAGGCUGAAAAUGUUGAGCACAUCCUCAAAAGCAAUCUGAAGAGUUUGUUGUGAAAGAGCGAAAAUGGGAGGGUGAGCUCCAAGCCUCCAAUGGUCAGGCUGAGAGCACUAUAACCCAAUUCAGCUCGAUUACGGUCGAGAAAAAGAACGCCAAUCUUCGGAUCGCUAAGCUAGAGCUUGAAUAUGCUGCCAUCACUUCAAGGUUCACUGAUUAGACCUUGGUUAGCGAGAAACUAGAGGCUGAGAACGAAGGCUUCUACUCGGAGAUGUCAUCUCUCUUUUCCAGCUACGAGGAGGCAGUCAAGGAAGCUCUGAGGGCUAAGUUUUUAGAUGCUGAUAUGACCUUCCUAGAGGAGCUGGACAUCGAAGAGAUUGGCAAAAAGGCUCGGGAGAGAGCUGAUCAGGAAGCUGACGAGGGUGAGCAAGCUAGGGCUUGGCGAGGUUGCCAAUAUAAUUUCUCUUUUGGAAGAUGAUUUUAUUGUAGAGGGUGACCUCAAUGAAGCUUUGUAAUAUACUUUUUGAAUAAUAAUGAAAUAUUUUUCUUUA